rnacentral:rRNA from 1 species
UGGGGAAUUUUGGACAAUGGGGGAAACCCUGAUCCAGCCAUCCCGCGUGUGCGAUGAAGGCCUUCGGGUUGUAAAGCACUUUUGGCAGGAAAGAAACGUCAUGGGUUAAUACCCCGUGAAACUGACGGUAGCUGCAGAAUAAGCACCGGCUAACUACGUGCCAGCAGCCGCGGUAAUACGUAGGGUGCAAGCGUUAAUCGGAAUUACUGGGCGUAAAGCGUGCGCAGGCGGUUCGGAAAGAAAGAUGUGAAAUCCCAGAGCUCAACUUUGGAACUGCAUUUUUAACUACCGGGCUAGAGUGUGUCAGAGGGAGGUGGAAUUCCGCGUGUAGCAGUGAAAUGCGUCGAUAUGCGGAGGAACACCGAUGGCGAAGGCAGCCUCCUGGGAUAACACUGCCGCUCAUGCACGAACGCGUGGGGAGCAAACAGG